rnacentral:misc_RNA from 1 species
GAAGAAGAAGAAGAAGAAGAAAUAGCGAUUAGGAGCAUCCAGGCGACGCUCAUUUUUUGGAGCUACUAAAUUGUGCCGCGCAAUGUAAAAGGCACACCUUUUUUUAUUGCUGACAGGUGACAGCUUCAUUCGUAGUAGCUUGAUAAGGGACAAAUACAAUACAUGGGAAGCCAACCAACUAAUCCACCUGAGAGCUUGAGACCUAACCCAGCGGACCAAAUGCCUCCUAAGGCCUCCUUAUCCUUGGAGUGUUGGUGACCUGCGGGGAUAUUCU